AUGCGGCUGAGAAAGCAGACAAGAAAGAGCAGAGUAAAUUCAACUGCAUAUUUUCUGUAUUUGCUAGAAAAUGAGCAGAUGGUCCCCCACUAUACCACACUGAUAGCUUCUCAAAGAUUAUACAUAUAUGUUACAUGCAAACAGGCACAGUUAGCAUGUCAUCACAGCUUCAAAUACCAGAG